GACGAACGCUGGCGGCGUGCUUAACACAUGCAAGUCGAACGGAAAGGCCCUGCUUUUGUGGGGUGCUCGAGUGGCGAACGGGUGAGUAACACGUGAGUAACCUGCCCUUGACUUUGGGAUAACUUCAGGAAACUGGGGCUAAUACCGGAUAGGAGCUCCUGCUGCAUGGUGGGGGUUGGAAAGUUUCGGCGGUUGGGGAUGGACUCGCGGCUUAUCAGCUUGUUGGUGGGGUAGUGGCUUACCAAGGCUUUGACGGGUAGCCGGCCUGCGAGGGUGACCGGCCACAUUGGGACUGAGAUACGGCCCAGCCUCCUACGGGAGGCAGCAGUGGGGAAUAUUGCACAAUGGGCGGAAGCCUGAUGCAGCAACGCCGCGUGCGGGAUGACGGCCUUCGGGUUGUAAACCGCUUUCGCCUGUGACGAAGCGUGAGUGACGGUAAUGGGUAAAGAAGCACCGGCUAACUACGUG
rnacentral:rRNA from 1 species